rnacentral:rRNA from 1 species
AUAUUAGGGCUUAACAGUGUUAAUGCACCAGAUCCCAAUAAAACUAUGCAAUUAAGUGUGCUCGGGCUAGAGUAGUAUUGGGAAGGGUAACCGCCCGAGAAUUCCUAGUGUUUUACAUG